rnacentral:misc_RNA from 1 species
AACCAUAGAAACCUGCGGAGUACCUGCGGAGGGAUCAUUAUAGUAUAUGGAAUCUCCAUUCUAUAAACCCACUCUGCGUAUCUUGUAACUGCUGCUUCCAUGGGACUUGGUUCCGCCACACCGGCUUCACGGCUGGUGAGCGCCCAUGGAAGGAGAAACAAAACUCUUCUUUGAAAUGUAGUCAGUCUGAACAAGUUUUUAUAAACGUUAAAACUUUUAACAAUGGAUCUCAGAUCGGAA